rnacentral:miRNA from 1 species
GCUGACACAUCCCGGCCAAUCUCCAGCAGACCCUCCCUCCCAGACCCUCCUACUUCCUGGACAGCAUCCAUGUUGAAGCUGCCUUCAACAUGGAUGCUGUCCAGGAAGUAGGAGGGUCUGGGAGGGAGGGUCUGCUGGAGAUUGGCCGGGAUGUGUCAG